UGACGAGUGGCGGACGGGUGAGUAACGCGUGGGUAACCUGCCUCGUACAGGGGGAUAACAGUUGGAAACGGCUGCUAAUACCGCAUAAGCGCACAGUACCGCAUGGUACGGUGUGAAAAACUCCGGUGGUAUGAGAUGGACCCGCGUCUGAUUAGGUAGUUGGUGGGGUAACGGCCUACCAAGCCGACGAUCAGUAGCCGACCUGAGAGGGUGACCGGCCACAUUGGGACUGAGACACGGCCCAA
rnacentral:rRNA from 1 species